rnacentral:rRNA from 1 species
GACGAACGCUGGCGGCGUGCUUAACACAUGCAAGUCGAACGGAAAGGCCCUGCUUUUGUGGGGUGCUCGAGUGGCGAACGGGUGAGUAACACGUGAGUAACCUGCCCUUGACUUUGGGAUAACUUCAGGAAACUGGGGCUAAUACCGGAUAGGAGCUCCUGCUGCAUGGUGGGGGUUGGAAAGUUUCGGCGGUUGGGGAUGGACUCGCGGCUUAUCAGCUUGUUGGUGGGGUAGUGGCUUACCAAGGCUUUGACGGGUAGCCGGCCUGGGAGGGUGACCGGCCACAGUGGGACUGAGAUACGGCCCAGACGCCUACGGGAGGCAGCAGUGGGGAAUAUUGCACAAUGGGCGGAAGCCGGAUGGAGCAACGCCGCGUGGGGGAUGACGGCUUUCGGGUUGUAAACCGCUUUCGCGGUGACGAAGCGUGAGUGACGGUAAUGGGUAAAGAAGCACCGGCUAACUACGUG